UCAAACUUGGUCAUUUAGAGGAAGUAAAAGUCGUAACAAGGUUUCCGUAGGUGAACCUGCGGAAGGAUCAUUACCAAAGGUUGAAAAAGUGUUCCCCCUCUUCUGGGUGGCACGAUAACCAAAAAGAUCAAUCCCACUUUUGUGCACUUAUUGGAGUCAUGGAUCUUUUUUGGAUCCGUGGCUCCCAAACCUCUUUUUUCCCUCUUUACUUUUUUGUCUGAGUUUGAUAAAAAAAACAAAAAAAUUAUACAACUUUCAACAACGGAUCUCUUGGCUCUCGCAUCGAUGAAGAACGCAGC
rnacentral:misc_RNA from 1 species